GACGAACGCUGGCGGCGUGCUUAACACAUGCAAGUCGAACGGAAAGGCCCUGCUCUUGUUGGGUGCUCGAGUGGCGAACGGGUGAGUAACACGUGAGUAGCCUGCCCUUGACUUUGGGAUAACUUCAGGAAACUGGGGCUAAUACCGGAUAGGAGCUCCUGCUGCAUGGUGGGGGUUGGAAAGUUUCGGCGGUUGGGGAUGGACUCGCGGCUUAUCAGCUUGUUGGUGGGGUAGUGGCUUACCAAGGCUUUGACGGGUAGCCGGCCUGAGAGGGUGACCGGCCACAUUGGGACUGAGAUACGGACCAGACUCGUACGGGAGGCAGCAGUGGGGAAUAUUGCGCAAUGGGCGGAAGCCUGAUGAAGAAACGCCGCGUGCGGGAUGACGGCCUUCGGGUUGUAAACCGCUUUCGCCUGUGACGAAGCGUGAGUGACGGUAAUGGGUAAAGAAGCACCGGCUAACUACGUG
rnacentral:rRNA from 1 species